GCAUUUUUGCUGUAUAUAAAUUAUACCUUAAUUCACCUGACUAAACAAACAAACAAAAAUCGUUGUUCAGUCAAUGAACACCUUUCUUUUUGAGUAUAUUUGAUCUGCUGUUUCUCUAGCUUUAGCAUCUGAAGUCCUGGCUGCUUCUGCCUCAACUCCUAACAAUAUUCAGCACGUGGUUCACUGAAACUCAGGUCUGCUCUCAUGCUCUCACUUCCCUCUCCUUCAUCUCUCAGAGCAUUCUGUACUGGCAGAUCCAUAGCAACGGUGGCAGUAGUGGGAACCAACCGCUGACACCAGCUUCUCUGUACUAGUCUCAGUUCUAAAGGCCUCCCAUUUACCCCUUCACUCAGUCCUUCUGACAGUCCUUUAUGAUAGGUGCCAUUAUUGUCCCCAUUUUACAGAUGAGGAAACUGAGGCACACAGAGACUAAAUCUCUUGCCAACACCCUUCCACUGAACUUGGAAUUUCUCACUCCAGGGUCCCUACGCUCACUGGACGGAUCCCUCUCCCUCACCAAGCCCUGUCGAACUUCUGCCUUUGUCAGGCUGCUGUCCCACAGCCACCAUGUGGAGCUGCAGAAGCAGGUCUGUGUGUCUGUCUCUGCUCUAGCUCCUUAAGGGCAAGGCUCUGAGUUCAUGCCUGGCAUGUGCAGGCUGCUCCAUAACUGUUGGUCAGACAGGUGAGCCAAUAAGCCAGGGAGUAGAAUCUGUGCCUUAAAAAUAACACGUGGUGGAGAGAACCUGCACGGCCUGCCAGCCGCCUCCAGUGAGGGGAAGGAGCAUGCCGUCUGGGGUUUGAAGGUCGGGCCGUGCUCUAGAUCCUUCACUUACUAGCUCUGGUGUGCCCUUAGUUUCCCUUGCCCCCUGUCACCGGGCAGUCAUAGCACUCACUGGGCUGCUGUGAGUGUCAGAGGUAACUCCGAUUGAGCACCACCAGCCUCACGCCCGCCCGCUUGCCUGGCCUUCCCUGUUGCUUCUGCAGGGCACCUCGGAGGAGAGGCGGGCGGACCCAGCGCACAGCCCAGGCUCCGUUUUGAGGGCACUGUUGGUUCUGUCUGGAAAAUCCAGCUCUGUGAGUAACCAUUAGUCUCUCCGGCUUCGCCUGUGAUGCAAGCCUGUUCGCUCCAUGCUGAGACCACAUCCUUCCUGCCGCUGCUGGAGCUUUGACCGCUAUAAAUUCGUUGCAUUUCCUCUCUGGCUGUUCCUGAGUCUGGUGUGUGGGGAAACUUCUUCCAUGGCUCGGGACAUCUGCUUGGGGCCCGAGGGAGAGUCUUCAGGGAAGCUUUUGGCUCACUUCUCGAAAUUAAUGAUGGUGACUUGUUGCAGCCAUGUAAUAUUUUUUCCCUUGGAGUUUUCUGAGUUUUUGAUAAUUUAGUUCAAGUGGAGACUUUUAAAAAGACUGUUCUUAGGCAUAUGCUGUUGUCACACUGCCUGGUAUCCCGGUGUGGACCGGAGCCCAAGGGCCCUGACAAAGGCCGCAGAUGAAGAUGGCAAGCAUCCGCUGCACACUGGCCAGGUACCUGGAGGACCUGGAGGAUGUAGACUUCAAGAAAUUCAAAAUGCAUCUGGAAGACUAUCCUCCUCAAAAGGGCUGCAUCUCACUCCCGAGGGGCCAGACAGAGAAGGCAGACCACGUGGACCUGGCCACCCUGAUGAUUGAUUUCAAUGGGGAGGAGAAGGCAUGGGCCAUGGCCAUGUGGAUUUUUGCUGCAAUCAACAGGAGAGACCUUUAUGAGAGAGCUAAGAGGGAUGAGCCAGAGUGGGAUAAUGCACAUGUUUCUAAUACCCCUGUGAUAUGCCGCGAAGAGAGCAUUGAAGAAGAAUGGAUGGGUUUACUGGGCUACCUUUCCAGAAUCUCUAUUUGUAAAAAGAAGAAAGAUUACUGCAAGCAGUACAGGAAGCACAUGAGGAGCAGAUUCCAGUGCAUCGAAGACAGGAACGCCCGCCUGGGCGAGAGCGUGAACCUCAACAAGCGCUACACGCGGCUGCAGCUCGUCAAGGAGCACUGCAGCCAGCAGGAGAGGGAGCACGAGCUCCUGGCCAUCGGCAGGACCAAGACGUGGGACAAGCCCGUGAGUCCCAUUAAGAUGGAGCUGCUGUUUGACCCGGAUGACGAGCACUCCGAGCCUGUGCACACGGUGGUGUUUCAGGGAGCGGCAGGCAUUGGGAAGACUAUACUGGCUAGGAAGAUUAUGUUGGACUGGGCGUCGGGGAAGCUCUACCAAGACAAGUUUGACUAUCUGUUCUACAUCCACUGUCGGGAGGUGAGCCUGGUGACACGGAGGAGUCUGAGGGACCUGAUCGCUAGCUGCUGCCCUGACCCGAACCCGCCCGUGGGGAAGAUUGUCAGCAAGCCCUCCAGGAUCCUCUUCCUCAUGGAUGGCUUUGAUGAGCUGCAGGGUGCCUUUGACGAGCAUGUAGGGGCACUCUGCACCGACUGGCAGAAGGCCGAGCGUGGGGACAUUCUCCUGAGCAGCCUCAUCAGGAAGAGGCUACUUCCCGAGGCCUCUCUGCUCAUCACCACGAGACCCGUGGCCCUGGAGAAACUGCAGCACUUGCUGGACCAUCCCCGUCACAUAGAGAUCCUGGGUUUCUCAGAGGCCAAAAGGAAGGAGUAUUUCUUCAAGUACUUCUCUGACGAGGCACAAGCCAGGGAAGCCUUCAGACUGAUCCAGGAGAACGAGGUCCUCUUCACCAUGUGCUUCAUCCCCCUAGUCUGCUGGAUCGUGUGCACUGGACUGAAGCAGCAGAUGGAGAGUGGCAAGAGUCUGGCCCAGACGUCCAAGACCACCACUGCGGUGUACGUCUUCUUCCUUUCCAGUUUGUUGCAGUCCCGGGGAGGGAGCCAGGAGCACCCCCUCUCCCACCACCUUCGGGGGCUCUGCUCUUUGGCCGCAGAUGGAAUCUGGAACCAGAAAAUCCUCUUUGAGGAGUCUGACCUCAGGAAUCAUGGCCUGCAGAAGGUGGAUGUGUCUGCUUUCCUAAGGAUGAACCUGUUCCAGAAGGAAGUGGACUGCGAGAAGUUCUACAGCUUCGUCCACAUGACUUUCCAGGAGUUCUUUGCUGCCAUGUACUACCUGCUGGAAGAGGAGGAAGAGGGAGAGAUGAGGACUGCACUGGGGAGUUGUUCAAAGCUUCCGAACCGAGAUGUGACAGCCCUUCUUGAAAACUAUGGCAAGUUUGAGAAGGGGUAUUUGAUUUUUGUUGUCCGUUUCCUCUUUGGCCUUGUAAACCAGGAGAGGACCUCCUAUUUGGAGAAGAAAUUAAGUUGCAAGAUCUCUCAGCAGAUCAGGCUGGAGCUGCUGAAAUGGAUGGAAGUGAACGCCAAGGCCAAGAAGCUGCAGAUCCAGCCCAGCCAGCUGGAAUUGUUCUACUGUUUGUACGAGAUGCAGGAGGAGGAUUUUGUGCAAAGGGCCAUGAACCACUUCCCCAAAAUUGAGAUCAAUCUCUCCACCAGAAUGGACCAUGUGGUUUCUUCUUUUUGUAUUGCAAACUGUCGUAGUGUACAAUCACUUUCCCUGGGGUUUCUCCAUAACACACCUAAGGAGGAAGAAGAGGAGGAGGAGGAAGGUCGAUACCUUGACAUGGUCCGGUGUGUCCUCCCAGGUCCUCAUGCUGCCUGUUCUCAUCGAUUGGUGAACUGCUAUCUGACUUCCAACUUUUGCCGGGGCCUCUUCUCGGUUCUAAGCACCAACCCGAGCCUCACUGAGCUGGACCUCAGCGACAACACGCUGGGGGACCCGGGGAUGCGGGUGCUGUGUGAGGCGCUCCGGGAUCCUGGCUGUAACAUUCAAAGACUGUGGCUGGGCCGCUGCGGCCUCUCCCAUCUGUGCUGCUUCGACCUCUCCUUGGUCCUGAGCAGCAACCAGAAGCUGGCGGAGUUGGACCUGAGCGACAACGCCCUGGGCGACUUCGGAAUCAGACUUCUGUGCGCGGGACUGAAGCAUCUCUUCUGCAACCUGGAGAAGCUGUGGCUGGUCAGCUGCUGCCUCACGUCGGCGUGUUGUCAGGAUCUCGCCUCAGUCCUGAGCGCCAGUCGUUCCCUGACGAGACUCUACGUGGGCGAGAAUGCCUUGGGAGACUCAGGAGUCAGAACUCUGUGUGAAAAGGCCAAGCAGCCACAGUGCAACCUGCAGAAACUGGGGUUGGUGAAUUCUGGCCUUUCGUCAGUAUGUUGCUCGGCUCUGUCCUCGGUGCUCAGCAGUAACCUGAACCUCACGCACCUUUACCUGCGAGGCAACGCCCUCGGAGACGCAGGGGUCAAGCUCCUCUGUGAGGGGCUCUUGCUCCCCAGCUGCAAGCUUCAGGUGCUGGAACUAGACAACUGCAGUCUCACCUCACACUGCUGCUGGGAUCUUUCCACACUUCUGACCUCCAACCACAGCCUGCGAAAGCUGAGCCUGGGCAACAAUGACCUGGGUGACUUGGGCGUCAUGAUGCUCUGUGAAGUCCUGAAACAGCAGAGCUGCCUCCUGGAAAGCCUGCACCUCCCCAAAUCAACACAGAAGACCUGGCCAUGCUGUCUGUCAUUAUUUCGGCAGUAAACAGGGCACACUCCUCUCUUAUCUUGGAUUUCCAAACUUUAGGAGAUGGCAAAUAAGCAGGCUUUUGUUGUUUCUGCUGCACUAGAUCCUGCACAACAAGUACUGUAUCAAGCACUCUGCGUGAAUCGCCUGACUCAAAAUUGACAGGUGAGGUGACUGCCAUUACUAGCCAUGUCUCACGAAACAUAGAUCCAUGAGCUGAGGCACAGUGAGUAAUGUGUCUUCAGUCCUGCAGCUAAAAAGUUGCUGCCCGGGAUCUGAAUUUAGUCACUCAUUUGAUAAGAAUUUACAUUUGCCAGGCACUGCUUUAGAUGCAGCAUGGGACAAAACAAACAGACAAAACCCACAAAAUCCUCUAUCAUUAUGGGAUGUAUAUCUUAUGAGGACCAGAAAGCACUAAAUAAAAUUAUGAAGAAAAAUCAUACUGUAUGUUUGAAAGUGAUAAGGAGUGUGGUGGAUAAAAAGGUAGGGACACUUUUAAAGGAGAAAAAAAGCCACGAGGACUUUCCUUACUGGAUAUUACAAUGUGUUAUGAAGCCAAAGAAUCACAACCUGGGGAUGUUGGUGCAAAGAUAGGGACACAGACCAAACUGAAUAGGUCCAGAAAGUGACCAAUUGCCUGGACAUUUGGAAGUACAAUUGCCAUUAACUGCAUGGAGACAGGUUGAGGUGGGUGACACGAGGAGUUUCGAGAAAAUCAGAUCUGUCCAACUAGACCAAGUCUCACAGUUGUGAUGUUCAGAUGUGGGUUUCUUUUAUCCCAGAGUGGUGCUGGGGCUCCCACAGAGACCUGGCCUGGUGUCCCCGGCCAUGCCUGGCCUGGGUCUCCUUCCUCUUGUUAUAGCAGGAGCUCGGCUCUCUAGAACAUGCACCCCAGCAGUGUUGGUGGCAGCUUGCCCCAGCUUUGUUUCACUUAAACGCUAAUUUGAAACACUUCCUUCUGGCUCUACACUAGAAGCUUGCCAUUUUGUCUUCCUAAAUAAACCUGGCUUCUAUUCCUACCUCAUGUGGGACACUUUAAGUUCUUAUAAUCUCACAGGAGGUCUUUGCAGUCUAGGCACAUGAUAAAUGGCCAAUUGAUGCCCAUGACUUAUUUUUCUAUGAAGUGAAGAAAAUCUUCAGGUAUUGGGAACAGCAUAAAGUGUCAGUGAUGGAAUUGUUUGACUUUUUUUAAUUUUUUAUUUUGCUUUCUUUUUCUCAACAUUAAACAUCAUAGUCAAGCAAGAAGGAGGUGACAUCUCCCAAGUUCUGGCAUUGAAGACCUUCUGGGAAGGCAGCAGUCCCACUGAGUGUGCCCUAAGCCAGGACCCCUUCACUUCCAACUGGAGCAAAAGGGCAGCCACAAAGCUAAGCAGCUGCAGCCCGAGGAGGCUUUUGAGACCUCAGCUCUGCCAAGACCCUUGAGAAAAUUUGUGUUAGGCAUUUCCUUCCCCUCUGUGCCUAGUGGAAGCUUAGAGAUAGGGCUGGAAGGAACUGAAGGAACCCGGAGUCGUCCGGCUUGUUGGAGGGCUAAGCCCAGGACAGCUGAGAGCUCCCGCACAAAGACCAUUUCUGUCUGAAAUGCAUUUAUUGUUUGGAGACCUUGGAGUUCCUGGGAUUUAAUUGGAGCUCCUUACUAUGGGUUUGACCUUUUGCUCAGCAGAGGCAUCUGAGAUAGGUGCUCACUGAAGCUUCAUGGCCUGCGAGUCGGAGGAUGGGCCGUUGCCUCCCUCUCCCCUCUCCCCUGCGUUGCCAGUGCAGCAGGCUGCACGUCAACAGCAGCUUUCGCUCACCUGGCGACUGUACAGUGGAGUGCUGGGUCCCUGUGGCGAGAUCCUCUCCCCACCCUCCGUCUGGCUGUCUUUACUUCAGGGUACUGCAGUGGUUAAGACAAGACCACUGGAGACAGUGUCUGCCCUGGUGCGUGACACAGAGUAUCGAAAACUCUUGGAAUUUCCUGAGUGAUAGGAGUGUCUUUGGUUACUCGUAAAAACACCGUUUACCAUACCCGAGUUUAUGCAAACGUGACUCAUGGUGGACCCUUGACUAGUUUCCAGGGAGCAGCUGGCCACAGCAGAAAGACCAAGCAGGUGACUGGGGGUUGGAACUUUCAGCCCCGUCUCCUAACCUCUGGGGAGGGGAAGGUGGCUGGAGCCCGAGUCUAAUCGUGGGCCGGUGAGUCAUGCAAUCAUGCAUGAGUGCAGUGAAACCCCAGCUAAAAUCUCUGCAUGUACACUCAGCAUUUCCCCCAUAUACCUGCCCACCAGACAUUGCCCUAUACAUUUCUUGCAUUUCACUCUUUUUAGGUUGUAUUCUUUAUACUAAAAAAUUAAUUGUAAGUACAUUGCUUUCAUUGAGUCUGAGUCAUUUUAGUGAAUGAUCAAACUUGAAGGGUGGUUUGUGGAAAAUACCAAAUUUAUGACCAAAUCAGUCAGAAGUGUGGGGGUCCUCAAGACUUGUGGCUAGGGUCUGAAGUGUGGAAUUUUGGUGGGACUGAAGCCCGUACACCUGUGGGAUCUGUGCCAACUCCAGGAGUUAGUGUCAGAACUACAUUGAAUUAUUGGACACUCAGUUAGUGUUUGGAAUGGGGGGGGUCUGGGUUUGACUUAGGAAAGAAAGAGUAUUAAAUAGUUGCUCUUUGACUAUGAAAAGACAAACAGUGUCUGUUUUCAAACCUUGUGUUAUAUUGUUUAGCAGUAUUCGGAAUUACCUUAAGAGACAUGUAAGUAAAUUUUAGGCAUUAUUAUCAUUGAGGCUUCAAAUAUCAGGUUAAUAAUGUCUCUGUUAUUGUUAAUUUAUUUUCAUUAAGUAUCUUUCUGAGCUUUGAACUAUGCUACAUACUCUAAUUAGGGAGAUUUCAGCUAAGAGUCAUACUCUUUGGUAAUUGGGAAUAGGGAUAUCAACAUCUAAAUAAUAUACAGGUUUAUCAGGUAUAGUCAAGUCAUAUAAUAGAAACCAGAUAGGUUGUUUUGACAAAGGGAAUUUAGCAUGAUAAAUUGCUAAUUAGGGAUUAGCUAUCUGAAAAGAGAGAGAGCAAAAAAAAAAAAAAAAAAACAACCACGUGGGUUUCAUGGAAGUAGUGACUUCACCAAGCACUAGGCUGGAUUUAUUACAGCUUGGACAUUUGGAAGAGGAGCCCAUGGAAUUAAAACCCAGCCUCUGAGAAGCGAGGGCUGCUGGACUGAUGUUGAUGUCCCUGAGGGGUAUGACGGGCUGGCUCUGAAGGUAUGGAAAACGGGAGUCAGGGGCUGCCUCUGAAGUGCAAGGCAUUUCCGCAUUUCAUUCUGUUGCCAAAGUGAAGAAGGGUUACUAGGAUAGCUUUUAGGCACAAAGGAAGAAAACUAGAUGGAGUGUUUCUGUCUUCUGCAGCUUGGCAGGCUGACUUUAGGACUCCCAACAGAAGGGUUUACAAGCAGCAGCUGACAAAGCAGUCAAAUCCUAUAGCUUUGCGAUUCAUAAUUCCUUUUUGUCUUUACUUUCAGAAAGACUUCCUCAAUCUUUUUGGUUCUAAUUUUUAUACAUUUAUAAUUUUGUUUGCUAUGGUUGGUUAUGUUAAUGUUUGGCAUAUACAAGGUAGGAGGAUAAAAACAAAUAAAUUAUAUGUAAAUGAAUCUAGAACCAAAAAAAACCCCCAAAAUGCAAAUAGAAGGUGCUAGCUAGCAUUACAGCUCCAUUCUACUAAAGGGGGAGCCAGUGCAGACGUUACUAAUCUCAGUUCCCUUUGUCACUAGAUGAAUGGCCUUGGUCAAGUUAUCACAACCUCUCUACUAAUCAAAUUCUUGUAUGAAAGGGGGAAUCAUAAAAGUGAUUACAUCAUGGGGUUAUUUGAGUAUUAAACAUGAGGGUGUGCAUAAAUACACUUCAUAUAGUGCCUGCAUCUUGGAAGCCUUCUACAAAUGCUUGCAAUAACCAUUACUUGGAACUUGUUAUUUAAGAUUUUAUUGUCCUUAACUCUGAUUGUAUUUGUGUAGCUUGUGUUCUCAACUAGAGUAUAUGCUUUUUUUUAGGUAAGAGGUUAUGCUGUUUUUAUACCCAUGGAACCUAAUAUUGAGUCUAAAAUAUCCACGAUAGAUAUGCUUGUACUAGUUCCCAGUUAAUGGUGGGAACAUUUUCUAGAGAAGAAAACUUGAACUAUAAGGGGGAAAAAAAGCAUCGCCUAAGAUCACAGGAAAAAGAAAGCAGUCCACUUCAUUCUUGGAAUUUUAAAAAAGAGUCAUAUAAAAUUUAUGAAUAUUUAAAUCUAUGGUGAAGAACAUGCAUUUAUUAUAAGUUAAAUAAGAUUAUGUUUCAGUUUCAUGUUAUAUACACUUAGGAGUAAUGGAAAAGGAAGAAAGAAACCUGAAAAAGACAAAUGGGAGAAAAAUAGAAGAACUAUAGGAAGAGGAAAAGGGGAAAGAAUCAGG